rnacentral:lncRNA from 1 species
UUAACAAUCAGAAGAAAGAACCAUAGUGUACAAGUGUGGAGGGGGGAAACCAAUAUUUCUGCCCUUCAGCUCUGGCAGUUUGAGCAAGAUCACGGAAACCUAACUCGAGCAUUUCAUCGGGCAGUAGUGUUGGUCAGCUACACAAGAAAUGCCCGAAAAGAUGAAACUUAUCAUUCUUCCUUCAGUCACUGAACUGUCAUAGAGCUGUCCUGCUUCAUUUUGAUCAGACUGCUCUCGAUGUUCCGAAGCGCUGGUCUAUAGCUGCAAAUCCAGACCAUGACAAAACUCUUGCUUUAGAGCAAAGAUAAUAAAAGUUGGUGAAUUUGACAGUGAAACAGAGGGCCACUCACGCAUGUACGAGACUAUUGUAUGCUUGUGUAGCCUGCUGGAGCUUUGCCGAUAGCUGCAUUACCU